rnacentral:rRNA from 1 species
CACGUAGGGCGCAAGCGUUGUCCGGAAUUAUUGGGCGUAAAGAGCUCGUAGGCGGUCUGUUGCGUCCGCUGUGAAAACUCGGGGCUUAACCCCGAGCCUGCAGUGGAUACGGGCAGACUAGAGGUAGGUAGGGGAGAAUGGAAUUCCCGGUGUAGCGGUGAAAUGCGCAGAUAUCGGGAGGAACACCGGUGGCGAAGGCGGUUCUCUGGGCCUGACCUGACGCUGAGGAGCGAAAGCGUGGGGAGCGAACAGG